rnacentral:rRNA from 1 species
ACUCCUACGGGAGGCAGCAGUGAGGAAUAUUGGUCAAUGGGCGCAAGCCUGAACCAGCCAUGUCGCGUGCAGGAAGACUGCCUAUGGGCUUGUAAACUGCUUUUAUUACGGGAAGAAUGUGACCUACGUGUAGGUUUUUGCCCGGUACCGUAUGAAUAAGCAUCGGCUAACUCCGUGCCAGCAGCCGCGGUAAUACGGAGGAUGCAAGCGUUAUCCGGAUUCAUUGGG